CUCGUGUUCUCAAAUGCCCGUCGUGUUUUAUCACAGUGUAAUACACGGCUUAGGCUUCUUUAUUUGUUAAAUCAAAACGUUCAGAUUUUUUGCUUGUGAUUAUUUUUUGCGUGACCUGUGCCGCUUACCUGCACCCGCGCCGCUUACCCGCAACCCGCGCUGUAUACCCGUGACCCGCGCUGUUUACCGGCGACCCGCGCUGAUUAGACACUCCCUCACCAAACGGGCAUAAUUUGUAACUAUUUCAAACAGGCCAACCCGAAACUACACCCUUUAACAUGUAUGACGGUCGUUGUAUACUCGGAAUCAUAAUCGGGAAAUUGGCUCGACAGGGUACCCCUCUCCCACCCCACUGCCUCCACCGUUGGAAACAAAAGGGGAAAAAAUUCAUUUAUGACAUUUAUAACUGGAAAGACAGAAACAAGAGAAAUAAAUUCACGCGGCGUAACGCGAGAUGGUAACGUGAUCGCACGUAAGUUCCCGCGUGAAACCGUCUUUCCCGCGAAAAGUUUUCGUGACGUUACUUGUUUUCCGUGACGCGAAGACACGAAAGACACUGGUAACGAAAGAGAAUCCAAACAUGGCGACGGGAUCUCGCAGUUUUGAUAGGAUUAUAAACUUAUUUUGGUGCCAAUACCAUGAUUAAUAUGGCAUCUAUGGUAUCAGUUUCCUUUUGAAGCAUAUUUUCCUCGUGUUGGCUGGAUUUAGGUGCAAGAAAAAUGGCUGUGACGGCUACAGAACACUGAAAUGAAGACCACCUUUGUGCUGAUUACUGACAACCGCUUGGCAAAUUAUUCCACAAUUUAACUGUUACUAAAGCCACUUGAGGAAGGCUGGAUCAAUGUGGAUGAACAAGUCAUUAGGAAAAGAAGACAAGGAAAGAAGGAAGGAAGGAUAUUUGAGACUGAAGGGGUGAAGAGACAGAUCUAGAGUGAAAAAAGAAAGACAUGGGACUGAUGUACAUGUAUAUGGCAACAGUUCCAACUGGAAGAAACCAAAUCAGUCACCUUGCCUGCUGACCAGGCCACUCAAGAGAGAGCUGGAUUGAUGUAGAUUAAUAAGUCAUUAGGAAAAGAAGAUAAGGAAAGAAGUCAACAAUGGAUGGACAGUAGACAUAUCUGGAAAGACAGUGGACAAACCUGGAUGGAUAGUGGGCAAACCCAAAACAUUCAAACUUGACCAAUCAGGAUGCUAGACAGCAGUGAUCAUCACAAGACAGCAUGGACUUGGAGAGACAAGAAAAUGCAGUUAAUGGGUAACACACCUGGAGACACAAAUUGAAGAGUAUGCUUAAGGAUUGGUUGCCAAGACAAGACAACAAGACGGUUUAUUAUUAGUAGUUUGUGUGUUUAAUUGUGCAGCUAUUUGGCCCAGCCCGGGAGGCCUUUGAACGCGGGGUACAGCUGGCCCGGGGUUUUCCUCCUAGUGCAAGUGGACGUAGAGGGAGGUUUUUCACCCAGCUGUUGUUCCACAACCCCUGUUCAGAUUAGUUGAUUAUUUCUUUAGCUUGAUAGUCGUCUACUAUAUAUUCAUAAUAGACUCUUGGUUAACACCUUGCUUUAGUUUGGAGUAAGUCAACCUGAUUGACGCUGACUUGACUACAACUUACUGAAACACACAACUCUCAAUGGAUACCAACAACUUGUUGCCUCUUUCACUCAGCAAGUGACUUUAACUUCCAACAGAACUGGCAACACAAACAUGACUAACAAUAGAUGGAUUUAAAAUGAGAACAUCAGACAACAAGACCUUACAAAUCACUUAUUCAUGGCCUCAACAAACCAAACAACAAACUAUAACUUCAAACAAAACCAACACAAACUUGACCUAACAAUAUAUGGACUAAAACUAUAGACAACAUCCGACACUGAAAACUACUUACACUGUACAGUUGACUUGUUCGUGUAUUUAUAAUUUUAACAAACAAACCAACAAACUGAAACUUCAAACAGAACCAACACAAACCUGACUAUAACUGCAAUAGAUGGAUUGAAACUGAGAUCUCAAACCAACAAUUGCAUGUACAUCUUACAGAUGACAUAUUCAUGACCUCAACAAAGCAACCAACAAACUUUGAAUUAACCUAAAACAGAACCAGCACAAACUUGACUGUCUAACAAUAGAUGGAUUAAAACUACACAGCAACUGACACUGACAACUUUACACCCUACAAGAAUUAUGACGUAUUCAAAACCUCAACAAACCAUUUACCAACAAACUUUUAAUUAGCUGUAGACAAAACCAACACAAAUUUGACAAACAUUUUACAAUGUAGAUGGAUUGAGCUGACUAUAUACAUGCAUGCAACAUCUGACACUGACAACUACUUACACAUGAAUAUUGACCGAUCAUGAUCUCAACAAACCUAAAUCUGAACCUGACUGUAGCACUUCAGUGCAGAAUGCUGCCAGAAUACUACGGACUAAGAUUCUGACUUAACCAUGAUCACCAAAAUGUAACAGACUACAGAAACUGCACAAGCCACGUACUAAUGCAAAGAUUAGCAUUGAGUCAGAUAAUAUUAUUAUUAUAUGUAGAUGUGUGUGCCACCAUUGUUCAAACAAGUGCCUUUUUUUGAAAAAAAAAAAAACCACCCUAGCUGUCUCUGCAUGGGAUUAAUUGGUUCAUUGAUUGGAAGCAGAGAUCUCUGUUACUGUAUGUAGUUUUCACCCCAGGUUGCUUUAUAGAUUAAAUUGAUUUGAAAUAAAUUAUUCAAGAUGUUGUUUGUUUCAUGAUGUGGUCCCUUGGGAUGUAGAUUGCAAUGCUUUUACUCUUACUGGUGGUCUACAUAGCCUUCAUCCAGCAAUGAGGGCUAGCAGGAAGUAGUCAAAUAUCGCAAUCUGCAUUCCGAGGGAAUACAUUGUAGGACAGACAAUAACCCAUGUUACACUGACCAGCAACCAUCUCUUUCAUGACCAAUUUUAUUUAUUUUUGGACACAUAUUAUUGAGAGAACUUCAUGCUGCAGCAAAGAUCUCUGACUCCAAUCAAUGAACCAGUUAAUCAUGAAACCCAUUCCAUUUGGCUGGUUUGAAUCCAUUGAACGGUAAAUUUUACUCUUGCACUUGUUUGUUCCAUUUGAGUUAGGGUUGAAAGUUCAAGCACAAGAUUCCCUUGAGCAUUUUUUUUUUCAUCCUUUGCUUAGAUGUGUGAGGUACAGUUUCUCCUAGACUAAGUCUCAGGUGAAUUUUAAAAUUGUUUAGAAAAGUUGACCAAAAGUUGCAAAACAAUUUCAAAAAUUAAUCAUAAAGAAACAAACCAGUAUAGCGCAUAUCAAUUAAAAGCCAUAAUAUAUAUCAGCAUAGAAAUUCUCUUAUCUUGUCAGACUCCACAUCUUUCCAAUAGUUACUGAUUGCGAAGACAAAUUUUCUUGUGAUGCAUGAUCAUUUGGUCAGUUCUCAUUAUGUCUGGUUCUGUCUGUGAGGAGAAGCUAGUUGCUGAUCAUUUCUGGGGUUUAAAGGAUUAAACAAAGAUUAACAACAACAGAUAAUGUUGAACUAAAUUUCAAGAGUUUAUUUCUUCAAUUCCAAAAUUCAUACAUGUAGUAUUUUACAAAACACUAGAACACAUAUGACUUACAGUUAAAUCAUUUCCUUUGAGGUUUUGCAUUGAACAAAAUUACACUUAAAGAAAAAUGCAUGUCUCAAAUUUCAAAAUUUGCACAUUAAUGGCACUGAACAAAGUAUUGAAAACAAACAGCAUUAGCCAGGUUAAUGGUAACUGCUACAUGUAAGCAACUUUGAUCUUUUGGGCACAUGCUAAGUUUUCGUUCUUACCUAAUUUUGAGAGAAAAGGGCCUUAGCACAGUCAGCACAUGUUCAGGACACCCAGUUUUUCACCAUCCUGGUUUUGCCAUGAGUUUACUAUCAAUGAUUGGGAAAACUCUCAGAAUUUAGUCAGCAAAUUCUUCAAUGCUCAAGGGAAACUUGCUAAAUAAUUACUUGUCAUGUACAUGUAGUGUAUUUCAUUAGAAUCAAUAUUUAACUAGUGAACUCUAACAACAAUCAACAUCAUGCUGCCAUGCAAACUUAUUACCUACUGUAGCUUUCAUAUAUUUUAAAAUAAUGUUUGUUAUUAAUAUGGUUUGUUACAAUUUGUAUUUACAUGUAGUUUAUAAGCUGUUGACUCAUUGCUUUUGAAUAGCAGGCAGUGAUUCAAAAAUAAUUUCCUUUUUCAAAUGUUUUUUUUUUUCUAUUUUGUAAUUAAGUGCCUGGCAACUUGAUGGUGGCUGUUUAAUUCAUAAACAAGGGAAGCAUUUAAUAUUAUAAAUAAAUGAUCUCAAGAUAGUCAGACAAAUAUUUUUCAUUUUCAAUUUAUAUCAGUUUGGAUAAGAAUUAUUUCAUCUCCAAAAUUUGGCCUGGGUGCACAGUUCCCAUUUUGCAUUCCAUGUUCAGGGACACAAAAUCAUAUCUAUUUACUAUGAGGCUACCACAAAAUUUAGCAGCUUUGUCAUGGCAAUGUUUUCACUUUUUCCUAGUUUUUAACACUAUAGUUAUACCAGUAAUUAUAACUGCUUCCUUUGUUUACAUUAGUUUAAUUUACUCAGUAUUCCUACUAAGUAGAUCUGCAAGCUCAUUAGCCCAAAUUGAAAUUAUACAAGCAAAAAAUUAGUACUUAUUUUCAAGUGCAACAAAACUUGCAACCACUAGCUAGGUGCGAUGAUAGUCUUAUCAUGUCCACUCCACCAUAUUUACCUUUUUGUCUGAAUUGAUUACUUUCAAGACUUGCCAAAAUGUUCAUUAAUUUGCAAAUGUAUAUGCCUAAAGCCACAAAAUAUGACACUACUUGAUUGCAGAAAAGUUUGAGCAGCAGUGUCACUGAAGAAUUAAUCAUUUUUUGUCAAUUGGGAUCUUUUUUUAGAAUUUAGCUAUUGUUUUUUCGAAGUCUCAUUAAUUUUUCAUUUCAUUUCAAUUUCUCAAUUUUUGAUUCAAUUAUUCCUGGAUAAUGGCAAUAUUGAUAUUAAGAUUAGACAAAGUACAUGUAAGAUCAACAGUCUGCAUUUUUAACUUUAGCUAUAUAAUUUGCUUUUUCUUUUGUUUUCCUGUUGUUUUAUUUUAAUUUACAAACAUAAUUAUAGUACGUAUAAACAAACCUUUUUGCCAAGCCUCAUAAAAAAUGAUCACAGCGUUAUCGGUAAUCAGAUUACUUUCAUAAUGCAGACUGUUGAUGAGCAUUAUUUUAUUUUAAUUUCAUUGGCACAGAUUGCUUGGUUCUUUCUUGGUGUUGCAAGUCAUCAUAUUUUGAAGGCUCCUUUAGGCCUCCUUUAAACUCUUUCUUUGCUUAAUUUCCUCUACAAAAUUUUAGGGUUUUUUUUCUGAUUUCUUUUUUAAGCUUGAAGGCAUUUUUUUUACUUGCCACCCUAAACACACACACUCAUAAAUCUUGUUUCUUUUUUUCUGGGCAUGUAUCACCAAGAAACAGCCAUUUUUUUCUUUAUUAGUUUAGUUAUAAUGUGCUUGCAAGUAUCUACUAACUAAGCUGUUACAGUAGCUUCUUAUUUAAUUCCAGGACAGAAGGUGGCACACACAUCAAGACCAAAGAUUGGUCAUAUUUAAAUCUAGCCAAUCACGUCCCUGCUGGGUUGUGGAAGCUCUGCCUCUGAGAAGGUGUGUGUUUCUGAUAUCCUCUGAAAUAUUCCAACUGAGAAAUCCUGGGAAACUUUAUCUGAUCCUGUAAUUCAAACCGGGGAUAGUUGAGCACUUGGAAGAGUUGGCCGUUUGUUCUCAAGUGGAGUGGACAGUGUGAAGGAAGGUGAGAGUUUGCUUUUUAUGUCUUUAAGGUUUCACAUGAUUUGUCACAAUACCACACCAUCAAUUUCGGCCCUGCAAGAUGCUUGUUUGAAGUCAAUGUAUCAGGAAAUGUUCUACAACCAGGGAUGUAAAGCAGGAGUGCUGAAUUGUGGAGCUCAAGGAAGGUGCAUCUCUAGAGAAAGCAUAGACAUAGGAGAUCACUGAAUUUCAUCAGUCUGACCUGAUUGGAUUUUUACAAAUGACAUCAAAUUGAGCCGAGUCACUGGGGGUCUCUCUGAUUGAGUUGCUACUGGGUCAGGUUUUCUUUCUUUUCUAGGUUCAUUUAAUAAACUUAAACUUAAAAAUACUAAAAUAAAAUCCUAUAGGCUUGAUUAUAAACAAAACACAUCUUUUUGAAAAACAAUUCUUACUAAGCAUUUUCCUAAAUUUUAAUUCUCCCUUUUAAGAAAUUUCAAACAACUAAAUUAUUUUCAUUCCCUGUUUUCAUUUUCUUUUAACUUAUAACAUAACUUUCUCGCUUUGGCGGUUUGUUUUCCCAUUACAGGCCAUGUGAUAUAUUCUCUAGAGAAUUGUUCUUUUAUC